AAGGUAAUAGCUCAGUGGUAGAGUGCAUGCUUAGCAUGUACAACAUGCACAAGGUCCUGGGUUCAAUCCUCAGUACCUUC
rnacentral:tRNA from 1 species